AACGAACGCUGGCGGCAGGCUUAACACAUGCAAGUCGAGCGCCCCGCAAGGGGAGCGGCGGACGGGUGAGUAACGCGUGGGAAUCUACCCAUCUCUACGGAAUAACGCAUGGAAACGUGUGCUAAUACCGUAUACGUCCUUCGGGAGAAAGAUUUAUCGGAGAUGGAUGAGCCCGCGUUGGAUUAGCUAGUUGGUGGGGUAAAGGCCUACCAAGGCGACGAUCCAUAGCUGGUCUGAGAGGAUGAUCAGCCACACUGGGACUGAGACACGGCCCAGACUCCUACGGGAGGCAGCAGUGGGGAAUAUUGGACAAUGGGCGCAAGCCUGAUCCAGCCAUGCCGCGUGAGUGAUGAAGGCCCUAGGGUUGUAAAGCUCUUUCACCGGUGAAGAUAAUGACGGUAACCGGAGAAGAAGCCCCAGCUAACUUCGUGCCAGCCGCUGCGGUAAAAC
rnacentral:rRNA from 1 species